UACGGGGGGGGCAAGCGUUGUUCGGAAUUACUGGGCGUAAAGGGCUCGUAGGCGGCCAACUAAGUCGGACGUGAAAUCCCCAGGCUCAACCUGGGAACUGCGUCCGAUACUGGAUGGCUUGAAUCCGGGAGAGGGAUGCAGAAUUCCAGGUGUAGCGGUGAAAUGCGUAGAUAUCGGGAGGAACACCGGUGGCGAAGGCGGGUCUCUGGGCAAUUCCUGACGCUGAGGCGCGAAAGCGUGGGGAGCAAACGGG
rnacentral:rRNA from 1 species